AUGAUGUUGUGUCUCUGUUUACAUGGUGUGUUGUCCCUGGCCGUGACCUUUGUCGUCAUAUGCUGCGACCGCAGAGCAGAGCAGAGCCGCGGAGACGUCGUUGUUUUGGUUUGUUAGCACUGAGAGAAGGUUAAUUACUGAAGAAGUCUGGAGGCUAAACCGAGCUUUAGAGCUGUUUUGUCGAACACAGGUGUCACCACUUCAUCCAUGACUCCAGAGACCAGAUCAGACCAGAUGAGACCAGGACAGAGAGUCUUCCAGGUGAACUCACAGAAACAGCUGGAUCCAGUGGAGCUGAAGGAGGAGGAGGUGACGGCAGCAGCUGAAGGUCUGGACCUGAAGAGGAUGAAAGAAAAACAGAGUUAUUGAGCUGAUAAUCACAGACUGAUGCAAGUAAAGCUGUUUGGUUUUAUUCACUCAGUUUCUAACAGUGUGAUGUAGUU